AGCAGACUCACUCAAACUCCAUUAUGAGUUUUCUGUGCUGCAUAUCAACAUCCAUGAGAGAGGACUCAGCAAUGGCCGCUUGGCCCAUACUCUAGUGGAAGAGGAACCACCUUGAAAAAUGGCAGAAUGGCCAUUCUGGGCAAGGAAGCAAUCAGAGUCUAAGGAGAGAUAUCCACCGGGAAUACAAUGCAAGCUACAAUUGUGAGCUACGUAUGUAAUUAAAAAUUUCCUAAUAGCUA